GUCUAAGGCCAUACCACCCUGAACACACCUGAUCUCAGAAGUUAAGCAGGGUUGGGCCUGUCUAGUACUUGGAUGGGAGACUGCCUGGGAAUAUCAGGUGCUGUGACCU
ensembl:rRNA 5S_rRNA 5S ribosomal RNA